rnacentral:piRNA from 2 species
AAAAAGGGCUUCUGUCGUGAGUGGCACACG